AAAAAAAAUCAUUCGUAAAUGAAUUUUACCAUGGAAUUCAUUUACAAAUCAAAUGAAUUUUAUCGUAGAAUUGAACCAAACAAAGUCUAAAAUUGAAUUAUAAAAUUGUGCCAUCAGCUAUAUUUCAAGUGCUUCAAAGUUAAUAAGCACCAGCAGAAUGCCUAUACUGCAGCAAAACCAUUACUUAAACCCAUAAGAUGGCUGCAAAGUACCAUAGAAGAGGCCACGGCAAAGCCAGAUGGCUGCAAAGUGCAAAGUACCAGUAAAAAGGCCUCAGCAAAGUCUUUUAGACCCCACACUCAGAACAAAAGUGAACAAAUGAAUUUGAAAAAGGGGGGAAAAAGAUUUAGACAUGGUGAAUACAGCACAGCAAUUGCUCCUAGAAUACACAGAAAAAAUUGUUCCUUUGCAAAAAAAAAAAAAUCUUCAGGAGCUGUUGUGAAACUAAACUAAUUCAUACUUUGUCAGCACACAAUUUUUGGCUGUAUCUCUUCUUUCCCCAUCCCGUUAGAAUCCAAUCAUUCUUACAGACCGAGGCAUCUACAGGUCUAUGAUAUCCUGCCUCUAUUUAUCCUCAAUAGGUGUUACCCACACCUUAGAAAUUUCUUAUGCGUUCCCUUGCAUGCAUCUUAAGUAACAAUACUUUUACUACACACCCACUAUACAUGAUUAAGUUCCACUUGUCUACUUAUUUAUCUGCUACCAUUUAAGAUCACUUCAGCUAUUAUAAAUCAAUGAAUCUUCCAAUAUUUUUAUACAUAUUACCAUCCAAAAAAGAGUAUUCAAGUCUCCAACCCAUGAAUUUACAACAUAAAUAAAUAAAAAAUUAUUAACAUGUAAAAUUUGGCACAAAAAUCUAUAAGUAUUUUGGAAUCUUCAAGUAAAAUGCCCCUUCCCCAAAAAGCUUGCCCAUGAUAGAAAUGGGCCCCGUCCAGGUUUGGAUUGGAACUAGUCAAACCCAGAUUUAACUAGAACCGUCUUUAACUGGACCAUUUUUUAACAAUCCAGUUCCAGGUCCAAAAAAGAAAAUUUCACUUUAAAAAAAAAAUUGAAUGUCAAUUU
rnacentral:misc_RNA from 1 species